ACGCUCGACACCUACGGGGGGCAGCAGUCGGGAAUAUUGCGCAAUGGAGGAAACUCUGACGCAGUGACGCCGCGUAUAGGAAGAAGGUUUUCGGAUUGUAAACUAUUGUCGUUAGGGAAGAAAAAGGACAGUACCUAAGGAGGAAGCUCCGGCUAACUACGUGCCGGCAGUCGCGGUAAUCUGAGCGGGCUGGCAAGGC
rnacentral:rRNA from 1 species